GAUGAACGCUGGCGGCGUGCCUAAUACAUGCCAGUCGAGCGAACGGACGAGAAGCUUGCUUCUCUGAUGUUAGCGGCGGACGGGUGAGUAACACGUGGAUAACCUACCUAUAAGACUGGGAUAACUUCGGGAAACCGGAGCUAAUACCGGAUGAUAUUUUGAACCGCAUGGUUCAAAAGUGAAAGACGGUCUUGCUGUCACUUAUAGAUGGAUCCGCGCUGCAUUAGCUAGUUGGUAAGGUAACGGCUUACCAAGGCAACGAUGCAUAGCCGACCUGAGAGGGUGAUCGGCCACACUGGAGCGGAGACACGGUCCAGGCUCCUACGGGAGGCAGCAGUAGGGAAUCUUCCGCAAUGGGCGGAAGCCUGACGGAGCAACGCCGCGUGAGUGAUGAAGGUCUUCGGAUCGUAAAACUCUGUUAUUAGGGAAGAACAUAUGUGUAAGUAACUGUGCACAUCUUGACGGUACCUAAUCAGAAAGCCACGGCUAACUACGUG
rnacentral:rRNA from 1 species